UACAGAGACUGCAAGCGUUUAUUCGGAUUCACUGGGCGUAAAGGGUGCGCAGGCGGUCGGGUGUGUCAGAUGUGAAAUCCCGAGGCUCAACCUCGGAACUGCGUCUGAAACUACUCGACUAGAGUACUGGAGAGGGUAACGGAAUUCACGGUGUAGCAGUGAAAUGCGUAGAUAUCGUGAGGAACACCAGAGGCGAAGGCGGCGAUCUGGGUCGAUACUGACGCUGAGGUGCGAAAGCGUGGGGAGCAAACAGG
rnacentral:rRNA from 1 species